rnacentral:rRNA from 1 species
AGAGGAGCUUGCUCCUUAAUUCAGCGGCGGACGGGUGAGUAAUGCCUAGGAAUCUGCCUGGUAGUGGGGGACAACGUUUCGAAAGGAACGCUAAUACCGCAUACGUCCUACGGGAGAAAGCAGGGGACCCUCGGGCCUUGCGCUAUCAGAUGAGCCUAGGUCGGAUUAGCUAGUUGGUGAGGUAAUGGCUCACCAAGGCGACGAUCCGUAACUGGUCUGAGAGGAUGAUCAGUCACACUGGAACUGAGACACGGUCCAGACUCCUACGGGAGGCAGCAGUGGGGAAUAUUGGACAAUGGGCGAAAGCCUGAUCCAGCCAUGCCGCGUGUGUGAAGAAGGUCUUCGGAUUGUAAAGCACUUUAAGUUGGGAGGAAGGGCAGUAAAUUAAUACUUUGCUGUUUUGACGUUACCGACAGAAUAAGCACCGGCUAACUCUGUGCCAGCAGCCGCGGUAAUACAGAGGGUGCAAGCGUUAAUCGGAAUUACUGGGCGUAAAGCGCGCGUAGGUGGUUCGUUAAGUUGGAUGUGAAAUCCCCGGGCUCAACCUGGGAACUGCAUUCAAAACUGUCGAGCUAGAGUAUGGUAGAGGGUGGUGGAAUUUCCUGUGUAGCGGUGAA